rnacentral:rRNA from 1 species
UACGUAGGGUGCAAGCGUUGUCCGGAAUUAUUGGGCGUAAAGAGCUCGUAGGCGGUUUGUCGCGUCGAAUGUGAAAACCCGGGGCUCAACCCCGGGCCUGCAUUCGAUACGGGCAGACUAGAGUUCGGUAGGGGAGUCUGGAAUUCCUGGUGUAGCGGUGAAAUGCGCAGAGUAUCAGGAGGAACACCGGUGGCGAAGGCGGGACUCUGGGCCGAUACUGACGCUGAGGAGCGAAGCGUGGGGAGCAAACAGG